CUUUAACUAUGCAGCAUUGCCGGAUUGAAUGAUAGCUUCAUUAUUCUUGCGUAUUAAAGAGAGAAAUACUCGGAUGCUAUCAGAGCAUUUAAGCUAGGUGUCGUGGAGGAGUGAGGUGCUGAAAAAUCAAUUAUGAGUCUCUUUUUAUUAUUACAUUUUUCUGUAGUUAUGCCUAGAGGAUUUGUUCUCCAGAAGGUGAAAGGUGGGGUUGUAAAUGGCCC